AACGAACGCUGGCGGCAGGCUUAACACAUGCAAGUCGAGCGCCCCGCAAGGGGAGCGGCAGACGGGUGAGUAACGCGUGGGAACGUGCCCUUUGGUUCGGAACAACUCCGGGAAACUGGAGCUAAUACCGGAUAAGCCCUUCGGGGGAAAGAUUUAUCGCCAAAGGAUGGGCCCGCGUCUGAUUAGCUAGUUGGUGAGGUAAUGGCUCACCAAGGGAACGAUCAGUAGGUGGUCUGAGAGGAUGAUCAGCCACACUGGGACUGGGACACGACCCAGACUCCGACGGAAGGCAGCAGUGGGGAAUAUUGGGCAAUGGGCGCAAGCCUGAUCCAGCCAUGCCGCGUGAGUUAUGAAGGCCUUAGGGUUGUAAAGCUCUUUUGUCCGGGAAGAUAAUGACUGUACCGGAAGCAUAAGCCCCGGCUAACUUCGUGCCAGCCGCCGCUGUAACAC
rnacentral:rRNA from 1 species